UACGUAGGGCGCAAGCGUUGUCCGGAAUUAUUGGGCGUAAAGAGCUCGUAGGCGGUUUGUCGCGUCUGCUGUGAAAACGCAAGGCUUAACCCUGCGCCUGCAGUGGGUACGGGCAGACUAGAGUGCGGUAGGGGAGACUGGAAUUCCUGGUGUAGCGGUGGAAUGCGCAGAUAUCAGGAGGAACACCGGUGGCGAAGGCGGGUCUCUGGGCCGUUACUGACGCUGAGGAGCGAAAGCAUGGGGAGCGAACAGGAUUAGAUACCCCCGUA
rnacentral:rRNA from 1 species